rnacentral:rRNA from 1 species
AGCGAACGUUUGCGGCGGGCCUAACACAUGCAAGUCGAACGGGUUGGCAACAACCAGUGGCGCACGGGUGCGUAACACGUAGGUAAUCUACCCUCAAGUUCGGGAUAACGAUCUGAAAGGAUCGCUAAUACCGGAUGUGUUCCGAAAGGAAGAAAGACCCGCAAGGGUCGCUAGAGGACGAGCCUGCGGCCCAUCAGCUAGUUGGUGAGGUAAUGGCCUACCAAGCCGACGAUCCAUAGCUGGUUUGAGAGGAUGAUCAGCCACACUGGGACUGAGACACGGCCCAGACUCCUACGGGAGGCAGCAGUGGGGAAUCUUAGACAAUGGGGGCAACCCUGAUCUAGCCAUGCCGCGUGAGUGAUGAAGGCCCUAGGGUUGUAAAGCUCUUUCAGCUGGGAAGAUAAUGACGGUACCAGCAGAAGAAGCCCCGGCUAACUCCGUG